rnacentral:tRNA from 1 species
GGGGAUUUAGCUCAGUGGUAGAGCAUGAGCCUAGCAAGCGCAAGGCCCUGGGUUCGGCCCCCAGCUCA